CUACUAACCUUUCCUUUGCUGUUCGGUUGCUGUUCCAGGCCGGCGCGGUGAACAAGCAGGGCGACAGCAUUCUGUGCCGCUGAGCCGCGCUGUCCAGGUGUGCGGCCGCCAGAGCCCGAGCCAGGAGCACUAGACAGGGAGGGGGAAGAGCAGAAGUUAGAGAAAAAGCCACCGGAGGAAAGGAAAAAACAAGAGCAAAUCUAGAAACGUUUUCAUUCGUCAUUCCAAGAGAGAGGGGGAGGAAAGAAAAAGAAACCUUUCAUCCUUUUUUUGCACGUUCAUAAACAUUCUACAUACGUAUUCUCUUUUGUCUCCCUUUAUAACCGCUGUGAAUUGUACAUUUCUGUGUUUUUCGGAGGUGCAGUUAAACUUUUAAGGGUUAGUGUGACAGGACUGUUAAAUAGAAGAUCAAGAGUAAAUCCGACUUUAGAAGCCCACUUUGUGACCAAGGAGCUUAAUUUUUGUUUUGAAGCUUUACUAAUAUACCAGAGCAUUGUAGAUAUAUUUUCUUUUUACAUCUAUUGUUUAAAAUAGAUGAUUAUAACGGGGCAGGGAACUUUCUUUUCCCUGCAAGGAUGUUACAUAUUGUAUAGAUAACUGAGUGACAUUUCAUACCAUGUAUAUAUAGAGAUGUUCUAUAAGUGUGAGAAAGUAUAUGCUUUAAUAGACUACUGUAAUUAUAAGAUAUUUUUAAUUAAAUAUUUUUUGUAAAUAUGUGUGUGUUUUUUUAAUCUAUGGGAAUAUUUCUUUUGGAAAAUGAUUUUUCAGCUCACUUGCAGAGCUCUUGAUACUUUGAAUGUCUUUUCUGUUUGGUCUGGCUUUUAAUUUGUUUUUGUUUUGCCCAGUAUCAUAGACUCGGAAGUCACAGUUAUAGCUAGUGGUCUUGCAUGAUUGCAUGAGGGUGUUUAGUCACAAAAUAAACUUGUUCUGAGUCCAUUCAAAUGCGUUUUCUUUAACCUAGAUUGAACUCUUUGUAUUUGAAGCAUACAUGUUGAAAAUAUACCUUAUCAGUUUUUAAGUACAGGGUUUUAUAGUGUAAUAUAUAAAGAGUGUUUGUUUUUUUGUUUCUUAACUGAAGUCAAAAUGGAUUCUAAGUGAUUUUGCAUAUGGAAUAGGGAAAUGCUUGGAUCCUUAAGGAAUUUAUGAAAUCUGUUUUAUCAAAGUGGAAAAAAGUUGCUUAUAAUUUUUCAUUUUACACUAAAGCUUAAUGUCACGAAGUUUCAUGUCUGUACAGAUUAUUUACAUCAUAGAAAUGAAAAAUGUUCUCUGCUUGCUACCAAAGGACAAACUCUUGGAAAUGAACUUUCUGCUUUCCUUCCUCCAAAGAAUAUUAAUAGGCAACAGUGGGAGAAAAAAAGUAAAUAAAAAGGCAUAAUGGCAAAUCCUUCAAGCAGGGAUAAAAGUCGAUCUUCAAACAUUAAGUAGACCAAAAAUUCUGAUGACUGCAUCUAGAUUAUUUUUUUAUAAAAAUGAUUUUCACUAUAGCUAUGUUAGUUACCGCUAAGCUACUGUCCAAUCUCUUGUGAUGUGUAACUUUUACAUGUGAGUAUUAAAGUAGACUUAUCUGUCUUGUACUGUGA